GUUACAAGUGUCACACGGAACUGCCGGUCGAUAAACCGGAGGAAGGUGGGGAUGACGUCAAGUCAGCAUGGCCUUUAUAUCCUGGGCUACACACACGCUACAAUGGGAAGGGACAAUAGGUUGCGAAGCCGCGAGGCGGAGCCAAUCCAGCAAACUCCUCAGUUCAGAUUGCAGGCUGCAACUCGCCUGCAUGAAGUUGGAGUUGCUAGUAAACGCAGGUCAGCCAUACUGCGUUGAAUACGUUCCCGGGGCUU
rnacentral:rRNA from 1 species